CCUACGGGAGGCAGCAGUGGGGAAUAUUGCACAAUGGGGGAAACCCUGAUGCAGCGACGCCGCGUGAGUGAAGAAGUAUUUCGGUAUGUAAAGCUCUAUCAGCAGGGAAGAAACCCACCCUCCGGGGUGGCUGACGGUACCUGACUAAGAAGCCCCGGCUAACUACGUGCCAGCAGCCGCGGUAAUACGUAGGGGGCAAGCGUUAUCCGGAUUUACUGGGUGUAAAGGGAGCGUAGGUGGCAAGGCAAGUCAGAUGUGAAAACCCGGGGCCCAACCCCGGGAGUGCAUUUGAAACUGGCUGGCUAGAGUGCAGGAGAGGUAAGUGGAAUUCCUGGUGUAGCGGUGAAAUGCAUAGAUAUUAGGAGGAACACCAGUGGCGAAGGCGGCUUACUGGACUGUAACUGACACUGAGGCUCGAAGGUGUGGGGAGUAAACAGGAUUAGAUACCCUAGUAGUC
rnacentral:rRNA from 1 species